rnacentral:tRNA from 3 species
GGGGGUAUAGCUCAGUUGGUAGAGCGCCAGCUUUGCAAGCUGGAUGUCGUCGGUUCGAACCCGUCUACCUCCACCA